rnacentral:sRNA from 1 species
GCUGGGUGUGGUGGCACACACCUGUAAUUCCAGCGACUUGGGAGGCUGAGGCAGGAGGGUCAUGAGUUCAAAGUCAGCCUCAGCAGAAGCAAGGUGCUAAGAAACUCAGUGAGACCCUUAGUUGAGGGGCACUCAACCACUGAGCCACAUCCCCAGCCCUAUUUUGUAUUUUAUUUAGAGACAGAGUCUCACUGAGUUGCUUAGCACCUCACUAUUGCUGAGGCUGGCUUUGAACUCUCGAUCCUCCUGCCUCAG